rnacentral:rRNA from 1 species
AACGGCCGCGGUAUCCUAACCGUGCAAAGGUAGCAUAAUCACUUGCCUAUUAAUUGUAGGCUAGAAUGAAAGGGUUAACGAAAUAAAGACUGUCUCAAUUAGCAAACUAAAAAUUAUUCUCUACCUGAAGAAAAGUAGAUAGCCUCGAAGGACAAGAAGACCCUAUAGAGCUUAAUUUUACUUAUAGGCCUGUACUAUAAAAAUAUUCGGUUGGGGCGACCCAGGGCAAAACAAUCACCCGCACCAUAAAAGAUAUAUUAAUCAAGAAAUUGACCCUUUAAAGAUCAUAAGAACAAGCUACCUUAGGGAUAACAGGCUAAUCCCACUCAAGAGUCCUUAUCAACAGUGGGGUUUGGCACCUCGAUGUUGGCUUAGG